rnacentral:lncRNA from 1 species
UCCAUAAAAGAAAUUUUACUAAAGCUCAAAACACACAUUGAACUUCACGCAAUAAUAGUGGGAGACUUCAACAGUCUACUCUCACCAAUCGACAGGUCAUUGAAAAAGAAAAUAAGGAGCCAGCCACCAUCCAAUCCUAUCAGAUCACCAUGCACUAAGGUUGAUCUUCAAUAACAAAAUAAAUAAUAGAAAGCCAACAUUCACGUGGAAACUGAACAACACUCUUCUCAAUGAUACCUUGGUCAAGGAAGGAAUAAAGAAAGAAAUUAAGGACUUCUUAGAGUUCAAUGAAAAUGAAGCCACAACAUUCCCAAACUUAUGGGACACAAUGAAAGCAUUUCUAAGAGGAAAACUCAUAGCUCUGAGUGCCUCCAAAAUGAAAAUAGAGAGUGCAUACAUUAGCAGCUUGACAACACACCUAAAA